rnacentral:rRNA from 1 species
GACAGAGGUCUCGAGCGUUAGGCGGAAUCACUGGGCUUAAAGCGUGUGUAGGCGGAUACUUAAGUGCCUUGUGAAAUCCCCCGGCUCAACCGGGGAACUGCUUGGCAUACUGGGUGUCUUGAGCCAUCUAGGGGCAACUGGAACAAACGGUGGAGCGGUGAAAUGCGUAGAUAUCGUUUGGAACGCCAACGGUGAAAACAGGUUGCUGGGGAUGUGCUGACGCUGAGACACGAAAGCCAGGGGAG